UGGAAGCCAUGAUGCACGUCGAUCCACGA
rnacentral:sRNA from 1 species